CCUACGGGAGACAGCAGUAGGGAAUUUUCGUCAAUGGGCGCAAGCCUGAACGAGCGAUGCCGCGUGAGUGAAGAAGGCCUUCGGGUCGUAAAGCUCUGUUGCGGGGGAAAAAAGGCAGCAUCAGGAAAUGGGUGCUGACUGAUGGUGCCCCGCCAGAAAGUCACGGCUAACUACGUGCCAGCAGCCGCGGUAAUACGUAGGUGGCGUGCGUUAUCCGGAAGGAUUGGGCGUAAAGGGUGCGCAGGCGGUCCUGCAAGUCUGGAGUGAAACGCAUGAGCUCAACUCAUGCAUGGCAUUGGAAACUGGAGGACUGGAGAGCAGGAGAGGGCGGUGGAACUCCAUGUGUAGCGGUAAAAUGCGUAGAUAUAUGGAAGAACACCAGUGGCGAAGGCGGCCGCCUGGCCUGUUGCUGACGCUGAGGCACGAAAGCGUGGGGAGCAAAUAGGAUUAGAUACCCCUGUAGUC
rnacentral:rRNA from 1 species